GACGAACGCUGGCGGCGUGCUUAACACAUGCAAGUCGAACGGAAAGGCCCUGCUUUUGUGGGGUGCUCGAGUGGCGAACGGGUGAGUAACACGUGAGUAACCUGCCCUUGACUUUGGGAUAACUUCAGGAAACUGGGGCUAAUACCGGAUAGGAGCUCCUGCUGCAUGGUGGGGGUUGAAAAGUUUCGGCGGUUGGGGAUGGACUCGCGGCUUAUCAGCUUGUUGGUGGGGUAGUGGCUUACCAAGGCUUUGACGGGUAGCCGGCCUGAGAGGGUGACCGGCCACAUUGGGACUGAGAUACGGCCCAGACUCCUACGGGAGGCAGCAGUGGGGAAUAUUGCACAAUGGGCGGAAGCCUGAUGCAGCAACGCCGCGUGCGGGAUGACGGCCUUCGGGUUGUAAACCGCUUCCGCCUGUGACGAAGCGUGAGUGACGGUAAUGGGUAAAGAAGCACCGGCUAACUACGUG
rnacentral:rRNA from 1 species